GUUUCUCUUCAACGUGACUUUACCGAAAAAACGAAGAAUAUAAACAAAAAUAGUUUACGUUUUUUUUUAGUUUAUGGACCUCAAUAUCAAAGCAGCAUUACUGGGAUUGCAGAACCCGGUCUUGUGAUCAAGGCAAGUGUUGACGAGGUUCGGAGGGUUGCGGGAUUUUUUUCGUAGACGGACAACGGUAUCAUUUCCCAGCUAACUCCCUGGCAUUAACAUGGUGCAUUAUCCCAGUAUACUCCAGGUAUCACCAGCCACUGACAAGAGGACACUCUUCAAGCAUCUCCAAGUGUAACCAGACUCGGACGAGGUGACGUUCUGCAGGGCUUUCUGGGCAUUGCCAGACACUGGUGAGGCGAGGUCCUUCAAGCAUUCCCAGUAACCAAGACCUUCUCUCAAGACCCCAUGUCAACCUCCUGCUGCUUAUUUUGCUGCUGCUGCUACUAAAGGUUGGAACUGCCUCCCCGGGUCAUCCAUGCCACCAGGUCCAUGCUCAUGACUUCAUGCUUAUAACCUAAGCUCUCCAAAUCUAAAUAUAAAAUAUACACGUCUCUCCGUGUUCAUCGGUUUCUUGGUU